CAAUAGCGUAUAUUAAAAUUGUUGCAGUUAAAAAGCUCGUAGUUGGAUCUGAGGUGCAGGCUGGUGGUCCGCCCACUUGGGUGGCACUGUUAGUCCUGGCCUACCUUUCUGCGCCUCUCUUGAUGUCCUUGAAUGGGUGUCUCGAGUCGGUGGAACGUUUACUUUGAAAAAUUAGAGUGUUCAAAGCAGGCAGCUUGCCUGAAUACUGUUGCAUGGAAUAAUAGAAGAGGACCUCGGUUCUACUUUGUUGGUUUAUUGAACGUGAGGUAAUGAUUAAGAGGGACGGACGGGGGCGAUUUGUAUUACGAAGUUAGAGGUGAAAUUCUUGGAUCUUCGUAAGACAAGCGACUGCGAAAGCAUUUGCCAAGAAUGUUUUCAUUAAUCAAGAACGAAAGUCAGAGGUUCGAAGACGAUUAGAUACCAU
rnacentral:rRNA from 1 species